GCCUGAGUAGCUCAGUGGUUGAGCGUCUGCCUUUGGCUCAGGGUGUGAUCUCAGAGUCCUGGGAUCGAGUCCCACAUCGGGCU
rnacentral:tRNA from 1 species